GAGAAGGAAAUGGCAACCCACUCCAGUGUUCUUGCCCGGAGAAUCCCAGGGACAGGGGAGCCUGGUGGGUCGCCGUCUCUGGGGUCGCACAGAGUCGGACACGACUGAAGCGACUUAGCAGCAGGCCUAACCAUUUCCCUGCAGCUGGAAGUUUUGAAUGUUUUUAAUAUAUAUAUUUUAUUCUUAAUGUUCAGUGGGAAAUGAUGUUUGUAAUAAUUACAAAAAAUGAGACAGUCUGCUUUGCACUGGACAAUGAUAAUAUGACAGUUGCAGAAUCUAUUGUGGAGCACUAUGGAAGAAAAACUUCAAAGACCAAUUUCCUCUCUGAGCUGCGUCUCUUGAUUAGAUUGUAUUAGCUAAUAACAUUUGGAUGUCUUGAAUAAACUACUUUUAGAAUCCA